GGGUUGUGAGGUUAAGCGACUAAGCGUACACGGUGGAUGCCCUGGCAGUCAGAGGCGAUGAAGGACGUGCUAAUCUGCGAAAAGCGUCGGUAAGGUGAUAUGAACCGUUAUAACCGGCGAUGUCCGAAUGGGGAAACCCAGUGCAAUUCGUUGCACUAUCGUUAACUGAAUACAUAGGUUAACGAGGCGAACCGGGGGAACUGAAACAUCUAAGUACCCCGAGGAAAAGAAAUCAACCGAGAUUCCCCCAGUAGCGGCGAGCGAACGGGGAGCAGCCCAGAGUCUGAAUCAGCUUGUGUGUUAGUGGAACGGUCUGGAAAGUCCGACGGUACAGGGUGAUAGUCCCGUACACCAAAAUGCACAGGCUGUGAACUCGAAGAGUAGGGCGGGACACGUGGUAUCCUGUCUGAAUAUGGGGGGACCAUCCUCCAAGGCUAAAUACUCCUGACUGACCGAUAGUGAACCAGUACCGUGAGGGAAAGGCGAAAAGAACCCCGGCGAGGGGAGUGAAAAAGAACCUGAAACCGUGUACGUACAAGCAGUGGGAGCACCUUCGGGUGUGACUGCGUACCUUUUGUAUAAUGGGUCAGCGACUUAUAUUCUGUAGCAAGGUUAACCGUAUAGGGGAGCCGCAGGGAAACCGAGUCUUAACUGGGCGUUAAGUUGCAGGGUAUAGACCCGAAACCCGGUGAUCUAGCCAUGGGCAGGUUGAAGGUUGGGUAACACUAACUGGAGGACCGAACCGACUAAUGUUGAAAAAUUAGCGGAUGACUUGUGGCUGGGGGUGAAAGGCCAAUCAAACCGGGAGAUAGCUGGUUCUCCCCGAAAGCUAUUUAGGUAGCGCCUCGUGAAUUCAUCUUCGGGGGUAGAGCACUGUUUCGGCUAGGGGGUCAUCCCGACUUACCAACCCGAUGCAAACUACGAAUACCGAAGAAUGUUAUCACGGGAGACACACGGCGGGUGCUAACGUCCGUCGUGAAGAGGGAAACAACCCAGACCGCCAGCUAAGGUCCCAAAGUCAUGGUUAAGUGGGAAACGAUGUGGGAAGGCACAGACAGCCAGGAUGUUGGCUUAGAAGCAGCCAUCAUUUAAAGAAAGCGUAAUAGCUCACUGGUCGAGUCGGCCUGCGCGGAAGAUGUAACGGGGCUAAACCAUGCACCGAAGCUGCGGCAGCGACACUAUGUGUUGUUGGGUAGGGGAGCGUUCUGUAAGCCUGCGAAGGUGACCUGUGAGGGUUGCUGGAGGUAUCAGAAGUGCGAAUGCUGACAUAAGUAACGAUAAAGCGGGUGAAAAGCCCGCUCGCCGGAAGACCAAGGGUUCCUGUCCAACGUUAAUCGGGGCAGGGUGAGUCGACCCCUAAGGCGAGGCCGAAAGGCGUAGUCGAUGGGAAACAGGUUAAUAUUCCUGUACUUGGUGUUACUGCGAAGGGGGGACGGAGAAGGCUAUGUUAGCCGGGCGACGGUUGUCCCGGUUUAAGCAUGUAGGCUGGUUAUCCAGGCAAAUCCGGAUAAUCAAGGCUGAGGUGUGAUGACGAGGCACUACGGUGCUGAAGUAACAAAUGCCCUGCUUCCAGGAAAAGCCUCUAAGCAUCAGGUAACAUCAAAUCGUACCCCAAACCGACACAGGUGGUCAGGUAGAGAAUACCAAGGCGCUUGAGAGAACUCGGGUGAAGGAACUAGGCAAAAUGGUGCCGUAACUUCGGGAGAAGGCACGCUGGUGUGUAGGUGAAGCCCCUGCGGGUGGAGCUGAGACCAGUCGAAGAUACCAGCUGGCUGCAACUGUUUAUUAAAAACACAGCACUGUGCAAACACGAAAGUGGACGUAUACGGUGUGACGCCUGCCCGGUGCCGGAAGGUUAAUUGAUGGGGUUAUCCGUAAGGAGAAGCUCUUGAUCGAAGCCCCGGUAAACGGCGGCCGUAACUAUAACGGUCCUAAGGUAGCGAAAUUCCUUGUCGGGUAAGUUCCGACCUGCACGAAUGGCGUAAUGAUGGCCAGGCUGUCUCCACCCGAGACUCAGUGAAAUUGAACUCGCUGUGAAGAUGCAGUGUACCCGCGGCAAGACGGAAAGACCCCGUGAACCUUUACUAUAGCUUGACACUGAACAUUGAGCCUUGAUGUGUAGGAUAGGUGGGAGGCUUUGAAGCGUGGACGCCAGUCUGCGUGGAGCCAACCUUGAAAUACCACCCUUUAAUGUUUGAUGUUCUAACGUUGGCCCCUGACCGGGGUUGCGGACAGUGUCUGGUGGGUAGUUUGACUGGGGCGGUCUCCUCCCAAAGCGUAACGGAGGAGCACGAAGGUUAGCUAAUCCUGGUCGGACAUCAGGAGGUUAGUGCAAUGGCAUAAGCUAGCUUGACUGCGAGCGUGACGGCGCGAGCAGGUGCGAAAGCAGGUCAUAGUGAUCCGGUGGUUCUGAAUGGAAGGGCCAUCGCUCAACGGAUAAAAGGUACUCCGGGGAUAACAGGCUGAUACCGCCCAAGAGUUCAUAUCGACGGCGGUGUUUGGCACCUCGAUGUCGGCUCAUCACAUCCUGGGGCUGAAGUAGGUCCCAAGGGUAUGGCUGUUCGCCAUUUAAAGUGGUACGCGAGCUGGGUUUAGAACGUCGUGAGACAGUUCGGUCCCUAUCUGCCGUGGGCGCUGGAGAAUUGAGGGGGGCUGCUCCUAGUACGAGAGGACCGGAGUGGACGCAUCACUGGUGUUCGGGUUGUCAUGCCAAUGGCACUGCCCGGUAGCUAAAUGCGGAAGAGAUAAGUGCUGAAAGCAUCUAAGCACGAAACUUGCCCCGAGAUGAGUUCUCCCUGAGACUUUAAGUCUCCUGAAGGAACGUUGAAGACGACGACGUUGAUAGGCCGGGUGUGUAAGCGCAGCGAUGCGUUGAGCUAACCGGUACUAAUGAACCGUGAGGCUUAACCUUACAACGCCGAAG
rnacentral:rRNA from 1 species